CUGGCUGACGUUCCACCGGUCGACGUAAAGCUCCCCGCCCUGGUCCCGAUUCUCAGAAACAAAUACUUCAAACUAGAAUUUUAGCAGACGCAGCUGAGAUGAAAAGAAAAAGGAGCUCUUCUUCGGAAAUUGGAUUCACAUGCCAUGGCUCAUCCGGGAAUUGAGUAUGACGUGUUCUUGAGUUUUCGAGGACUGGAUACUCGCACUACCUUCACAGAUUAUCUUUAUCAUACCUUGCUGGAUAAGGGUAUCAGUGUUUUCAUAGACAAGCAAGGGAUCGACAUUGGGGAAGAGAUCGGUCCCGAGAUUUUUCAGGCCAUCAAUGACUCAAAAAUGUGCAUUCCCAUCUUCUCCACAGGCUACGCCUCUAGUAGCUGGUGCCUACGUGAAUUGGAACACAUGAUGGAGUGUAGGAAAACUAACAAACUAGAGGUUAUGCCCAUUUUCUAUGAUGUGGAACCCUCGACGUGAAGCUUGAAACCAAAGUGUAUAGGGAUGCUCUAACUUUGCGGGAAGAAAAACACGGUGCUGAGAUUGUGCAGCGCUGGAUGGAGGCACUUAAGGAAGUUACUGGAAUCAAGGGAUGGGACACCAAGAGCAUAGGCCAUGGAGAACUUGCACAAUUGAUUGCUCGGAAAGUGUUGGUUAAGCUUAAGGUGUCUUUUGUUCGAAUAUCCGAUCAUUUAGUUGGAAUGGACGACUCAGUGGAUAGAGUAGUAGGUUUAUUGGAUGUCAACUAUAAGGAUAUAAGGCUCAUUGGAAUUUGCGGGAUGGGUGGAAUAGGCAAGACAACUCUUGCCAAGGUUGUUUACCACAAGCUAUCUACUAAUUUUGAGAAUCACAGCUUCAUUUCAAAUAUCCGAGAGUCUGAUCUAUUAACGUGCAGAGGCAAUUAGUCUUUGAUAUCGGUGGUGACAUAGGAGAUGAACUUCGUAGCAUUGAUCAUGGGAUGAAUAUGAUCCAAAAUCGAUUUUGCAGAAAGAAAGUUCUUAUAUUUCUUGAUGAUGUAGAUCAUAGAAGCCAACUUAUGGCAUUAGUUGCAAAGGCAGAAUGGUUUGGUUUGGGAAGUAGAAUAGUUGUCACAACAAGAGACAAAGGUGUUUUAAAUGGAUUCCAAGAUCAAUUUGGACAUUGUUUGAUUUAUGAGGCUAAGGAACUCAACAAUCCGGAAGCUCUUCAACUUUUUAGCAAGCAUACCUUUAGAAGCAACUCUCCUCCAAAUGAAUUCUUGAGUCUAUCUAUGGAAGUUACUAGAAAAGCCGGAGGGCUUCCUUUGGCUAUCGAAGUGAUUGGCUCGUAUUUAUAUGGAAAAACGAAAGCGGUGUGGCAAGAUACAUUGAAAAAGAUGGAUUAUUGUCAGCAUAGGGAUGUGAAGGAAAAGUUAAUGUUGAGUUAUCAGGCAUUAGAUCAUCUGCAACAACAAAUAUUUCUUGAUAUCGCUUGCUUUCUAGCUGGACAAGAUAAGAGCUAUGCAUAUUACAUGUGGGAUGACUGUGGAUUUUUUUCCAAGUGAGGGGAUUGAUAUUCUGCUUUUAAUGUCCUUAGUGAAGAUUGGAGAGGAGAAUGAACUAUGGAUGCAUGAUCAGCUUAAGGACUUAGGUAGGACCAUUAUGUAUGAAGAAAAUUGCAAAGACCCCACAAAGGGUUCUCGAGUGUGGUGGGCUUGGCAAGGUGGUAUGAAUAUUGUCCAGCAAAAGAAGGGAACCGGAACUGUUGCAGCGUACUAUAAUCAAUCUAGGUGCCUCUCCAAGACUAUGUUUUGACAUCAAAAGACUUUAUCGAAGUGCCAAAUAUUAGAUUUCUCAAAUUGUCUGAUUGCACUCUCUCCGGAGAUUUUGGGGAUCUCUUUUAGAAUUGAGAUGGCUUACUUGGUAUGAUUGUCCAAAAGAAAUGCAGGCAACCAACUUUUGCCCAAAAAUCUAGUCAUCCUUAAACUAUGGGGAAGAGCUCAAUAGAUGAACAUUGGGGUGGUUGGACUCAACUCAAGAUGGCUACAAGAUUGAAGGUCCUUGAUCUGUCGUAUUGCAGAAUGUUGAAAGAAAUUCCUGAGCUCUCUGCAUUUUUAUCCUUAGAAAAAUUAAUUCUAAAGGGGUGUGCAAUGCUUACGAAAGUUCCGACUCGAUCGGAAUACUGAAAUACUUAGUUGAGUUGGAUGUCUCAUUCACAAGCAUUGUAGAGUUGCCAAAUAGCAUUGUCAAUGUAAAGAGCUUGAAAGUGUUGAAGAUUGCGGGUAGUUGCAUGCAAAAGUUACACGAUGUCAUUGGGAUGAUGGAAAAACUUGAGGAAAUUUCUGGGAGAGUAUUGCCGGAUGCUAGAAGUGAUUUCUAGUGAUAUUGUGAGACUACCAUUCUUGCGGAUUUUGAAAUUAACAGGAGCUUGUCAUGAGAAUGUACCAAAUGCUUCCACAGAGUUCGGUAAGUAUAUCUAUCCUCACAUGUUUGAGAAAAAGAUUCGGAGAUCUCCAAUUUAGUGAGUCUAAAAAAUCUGAAAUUAUGUUUUCCCAUAACAUUCUAGAUGUUAUCAUUUAUAAGAGUAGUGUUGAUUAUAUUCUGUCUUUUAUUAUUCGAUGUGGGAGUAAUUUAAGAAUAGAUCGAUUUUCUUUUAUUUGUUGUUGGGGACAACAUUGAAAUAAGUGUGACGAAGAGUGGUUUUGGCUUAAGUUAGGAAUGCAUAUAUAGAGUAUUUAUAAGGUUAUUUUGGUGGAA